GACGAACGCUGGCGGCGUGCCUAAUACAUGCAAGUUGAGCGCUGACGGUUGGUACUUGUACCGACUGGAUGAGCAGCGAACGGGUGAGUAACGCGUGGGGAAUCUGCCUCUGAGCGGGGGACAACAUUUGGAAACGAAUGCUACUACCGCAUAAAAACUUUAAACACAAGUUUUAAGUUUGAAAGAUGCAAUUGCAUCACUCAAAGAUGAUCCCGCGUUGUAUUAGCUAGUUGGUGAGGUAAAGGCUCACCAAGGCGAUGAUACAUAGCCGACCUGAGAGGGUGAUCCGCCACAAUGGGACUGAGACACGGCCCAAAACCCUACGGGAGGCAGCAGUAGGGGAUCUUCGGCAAAGGACGAAAGGCUGAACGAGCAACGCCGGGUGAGUGAAGGAGGUUGUCGGGUCGGAAAACUCUGUUGGUAGAGAAGGAAGUUGGGGAGGGUGAAAAGCUCAUCAAGUGACGGUAACUACCCAGAAAGGGACGGCUAACUACGUG
rnacentral:rRNA from 1 species